UUUUUGUGUUCCCAAGUCCCUCUUUUUAGUUGAGAAGUGCCGCCUCCGUUUUCUCAAUUCUCCUCCAUUCCUCUCUUAAUUCUUUGUGACGUUCAUUUCUCCAUCAAAUUAUUGCACCAGUUAAAUCUACUAUAUUGCUUCCAUUAAUAUUUUAUUUCUUUCUCUUUCACACACAUAGAUCCUCUUAUUCAAUAAUGCUUAAUUAUCUCUAAAAUCUUUUAUUGAUUUAAUAACAUAAAAGAUCAAAUCCGCAUGAUGGGCAUUUUAAGACGCAAAGCCACUUCUGACGCCUCCUUUGCUUUGAUACAAAUCCUCAAGCUAAGUUAAGAAAUAUUAUUUGUACUUCAAUUUGUUUUUCUGUUGUGUCUCUCAUACAGAAUUCUUUUUCUUUCAGUUGUAGGGCAAUAAAAAUUUGGGUUUCUCCAGAUGACAUAUUAUGUGUAUGUAUUUGUGGGUUCUUAUUGAUUUAAUUUUAUUAUAGAGGUAUGAAGAAAUUUGUCUAUUAUUCUUUAUUUUUUGAGAGAUUAAAUACUCUUAAUUUUAUAUCUCUUCUUCUUAAUUCUUGUGGUUAUUUGCAGUCAAAGAAGAAUUAAUAUUUAUGGUCUAACUUCGAGUAAGCAUCUUUCUACCAUUACUAAUUUGUCAUUCUAUUAUUUGCUUCACUAAUUAAAAUAUGAUAUGUCAUUUUUGGCUAAAUCUUGUUCAUCAAAAAGUAUGUACUAAAAUUGUUUUUUUCUUCAGUGGGUACAUGAAAGUGUAAAUUUAUUCAAGAGCAACUUUACCAGACGAGUGGUUACAUUAGUGUUUGAGGAAGUAGUUACUAAAAUUAUUUGUAUUUCGAUUCGACGUCAUGUUGUUGAAUAAAUUUUAUUUUAUUUCGGUAUUUUAGUUUACGGAGUUUGUAAUGAAUAUUAUCUCAAUGUAGUAUUAGUUCUUAAUUAUGUGAUCGUUGGUGAAAAUUUUUGUUGUUACCUUCCAUUUUUACUAUGUUAUUUCCAUUUAGUAAAUGAUAAAUUCUGGAAUUA
rnacentral:lncRNA from 1 species